rnacentral:rRNA from 1 species
AGGAUGAACGCUGGCGGUGUGCCUAAUACAUGCAAGUCGAACGGGAUCUUCGGAUCUAGUGGCGGACGGGUGAGUAACACGUUGGUACCUACCCCUAAGUGGGGAAUAACUGCCCGAAAGGGUGGCUAAUACCGCAUAAUCCCGCAAGGGUAAAGCAGUAAUGCGCUUAGGGAGGGGCCUGCGUCUGAUUAGCUAGUUGGUAGGGUAAUGGCCUACCAAGGCGACGAUCAGUAGCUGGAUCGAGAGGUUGACCAGCCACACUGGGACUGAGAUACGGCCCAGACUCCUACGGGAGGCAGCAGUAAGGAAUCUUCCACAAUGGACGAAAGUCUGAUUGGAGCAACACCGCGUGCAGGAUGACGGUCUUCGGAUUGUAAACUGCUUUUAUAUGGAAGAUUAUGACGGUACCAUAUGAAUAAGGUACCGGCUAACUACGUAGCCAGCAGCCGC